rnacentral:rRNA from 1 species
GUGGGGAAUAUUGGACAAUGGGGGGAACCCUGAUCCAGCCAUGCCGCGUGUGUGAAGAAGGCCUUUUGGUUGUAAAGCACUUUAAGCGAGGAGGAGGCUACCGAGAUUAAUACUCUUGGAUAGUGGACGUUACUCGCAGAAUAAGCACCGGCUAACUCUGUGCCAGCAGCCGCGGUAAUACAGAGGGUGCAAGCGUUAAUCGGAUUUACUGGGCGUAAAGCGCGCGUAGGUGGCCAAUUAAGUCAAAUGUGAAAUCCCCGAGCUUAACUUGGGAAUUGCAUUCGAUACUGGUUGGCUAGAGUAUGAGAGAGGAUGGUAGAAUUCCAGGUGUAGCGGUGAAAUGCGUAGAGAUCUGGAGGAAUACCGAUGGCGAAGGCAGCCAUCUGGCCUAAUACUGACACUGAGGUGCGAAAGCAUGGGGAGCAAACAGGAUUAGAAACCCGAGUAGUCC